rnacentral:rRNA from 1 species
UACGUAGGGUGCGAGCGUUGCCCGGAUUUAUUGGGCGUAAAGGGCGCGUAGGCGGCCUGGCGCGUCGGCUGUGAAAUCUCCCGGCUCAACUGGGAGGGGACGGCCGAUACGGCUGGGCUUGAGCGAGGUAGGGGAGAGUGGAAUUCCCGGUGUAGUGGUGGAAUGCGUAGAUAUCGGGAGGAACACCAGUGGCGAAGGCGGGUCUCUGGACAGUUCCUGACGCUGAGGCACGAAGGCCAGGGGAGCAAACGGG